rnacentral:rRNA from 4 species
UUGAAUGUCAAAACGACUCUCGGCAACGGAUAUCUCGGCUCUCGCAUCGAUGAAGAACGUAGCGAAAUGCGAUACUUGGUGUGAAUUGCAGAAUCCCGUGAACCAUCGAGUCUUUGAACGCAAGUUGCGCCCGAAGCCUUCGGGCCGAGGGCACGCCUGCCUGGGCGUCACGCAUCGCG